GUCCCUUCGAGGACAUCCAAUAAAAUUGGAACGAUACAAAGAUGAUUAACAUGGUUCUUGUUCAUAAAUGUUUCUAAUUAACAAAAAAGAAAAAAAAAAUUG